GUUUAUGUAGUUUAAUUAAAACAAAUUAUUUUCAAUAAUUAGAUAAAAAUUUCUUAAACU
rnacentral:tRNA from 1 species